rnacentral:snoRNA from 1 species
AUACACCACAUUAACAAAUUGAAGAAUAAAAAUGGUAUAACCUGGGGACCAAGUGUGCCAUGGCUGCAAAGAGCAGCCUCCUCAUAGUUUAUGAAGCCUGCAGCUUAUAUGGGUUGCCCUAAGGGACAUAGAAGCAUUC